rnacentral:rRNA from 1 species
UACGGAGGGUGCAAGCAUUAAUCGGAUUUAUUGGGCGUAAAGGGCGCGUAGGCGGGAUCGUAAGUCAGAUGUGAAAGCCCGGGGCUCAACCCCGGAAUUGCAUUUGAAACUGUGAUUCUAGAGGAUAGGCGGAGAAAAUGGAAUUCCACAAGUAGCGGUGAAAUGCGUAGAUAUGUGGAAGAACACCAGUGGCGAAGGCGGUUUUCUAGCUUAUACCUGACGCUGAGGCGCGAAAGCAAGGGAUCAAACAGG